CCUACGGGUGGCAGCAGUGGGGAAUUUUGGACAAUGGGCGCAAGCCUGAUCCAGCCAUGCCGCGUGAGUGAAGAAGGCCUUCGGGUUGUAAAGCUCUUUCGGCCGGAACGAAAUCAUCUGGGUUAACACCUCAGAUGGAUGACGGUACCGGAAGAAGAAGCACCGGCUAACUACGUGCCAGCAGCCGCGGUAAUACGUAGGGUGCAGGCGUUAAUCGGAAUUACUGGGCGUAAAGCGUGCGCAGGCGGCUUCCUAAGUCAGAUGUGAAAUCCCCGGGCUUAACCUGGGAACUGCGUUUGAAACUGGGAGGCUAGAGUGCGGCAGAGGGGGGUGGAAUUCCACGUGUAGCAGUGAAAUGCGUAGAUAUGUGGAGGAACACCGAUGGCGAAGGCAGCCCCCUGGGCCAGCACUGACGCUCAUGCACGAAAGCGUGGGGAGCAAACAGGAUUAGAUACCCUAGUAGUC
rnacentral:rRNA from 1 species